AUUUCAGUUUACUUUUCUAUGAACGUUCCCAUGGCUUUCUAAAAACAAUAACUUAACAAUAGUGUAAAAUAACUGGGGGACAUCACCUUUAGUGAUGAACGACGGAACGUGCUGUAAGAACACUUGUAGGAACGUUGCUGCAGAUGUGAGAAUUCAGGGAACGAGAUGCAAGCUCAUCUCAGUGGGAAAAAGGAAUCAAUACAGGAUUAAUGUGCAAAACCUAUCAUUUCAUAAAAUACUUAAAGUGUCUCCCACAAUUACCAUAGCCAUGCCUGAAAUCAUGACAUGUGAGAGCUGCAGCCAGCUUCUCUCCAAAGAUUUCAGAUUGCGUUAUCAAAUCUGCAGUGAGGAGAUGUUGAUCAGAAG
rnacentral:lncRNA from 1 species